rnacentral:rRNA from 1 species
UAGUCUGCAACCCGACUACAUGAAGCUGGAAUCGCUAGUAAUCGCGGAUCAGAAUGCCGCGGUGAAUACGUUCCCGGGUCUUGUACACACCGCCCGUCACACCAUGGGAGUCGGAAAUGCCCGAAGUCUGUGACCCAACCUGAGAGGGAGGGAGCAGCCGAAGGCAGGUCUGAUGACUGGGGUGAAGUCGUAACAAGGUAAC